rnacentral:misc_RNA from 1 species
UAAAAAAAAAAAAAAAGAAAAAACCUCUCCUUGAUUUUUAUCACUACAGUCUACAGAGUGACUAAAGCAUUCAGAUUCAGAUGUUUAGAACUGGGAUCAGAAUAUCCUUUCAAGUAAGAUUUAGUUCGGAACUUCUUUAACAAUUACAUAUACAAGGCUUGAGCUUUAAAAAAGUUUGAUAGUUUCAUUUUGCUUUAGUUGUUAGUAAUAUGAAUUAGUUGAUAAUUUCUAUGUUUGUAUGUCUUUUAUGGUACAAAAAGAUUUAGGGGUAGGUAGGGUAUCUCAAUCCUAGGGCCAAGGAGAGCUUAUAUACCAUUGGAGAUUUAUAGUAGAGUUUAUGUAUCGCCCACCCACUAGAAACUUCGACAGCCAUCAAUUAAAUUUAAAUUGAAGAUAAAGUGCAUCAAAAAUUAAAUCCUUAACUGUUAAGUCCAUCCUCCGUGGGCAAACAAGAAGUUUUUGACUUAAUUUAUAAAUGCCAGAAAACCAUAUGUCUAUACAUUGGCAUUUGUUUCCUUUAUGAGGGCAAUUGCAGCCGUGGUUCCAAGUAAAA